AACAGGAUUAGAUACCCUGGUAGUCCACGCCGUAAACGAUGUCGACUUGGAGGUUGUUCCCUUGAGGAGUGGCUUCCGGAGCUAACGCGUUAAGUCGACCGCCUGGGGAGUACGGCCGCAAGGUUAAAACUCAAAUGAAUUGACGGGGGCCCGCACAAGCGGUGGAGCAUGUGGUUUAAUUCGAUGCAACGCGAAGAACCUUACCUACUCUUGACAUCCAGAGAACUUGGCAGAGAUGCCUUGGUGCCUUUGGGAACCGUGAGACAGGUGCUGCAUGGCUGUCGUCAGCUCGUGUUGUGAAAUGUUGGGUUAAGUCCCGCAACGAGCGCAACCCUUAUCCUUUGUUGCCAGCGAUUCGGUCGGGAACUCAAAGGAGACUGCCGGUGAUAAACCGGAGGAAGGUGGGGAUGACGUCAAGUCAUCAUGGCCCUUACGACCAGGGCUACACACGUGCUACAAUGGCGCAUACAAAGAGAGGCGAGCCUGCGAGGGGAAGCGGAACUCACAAAGUGCGUCGUAGUCCGGAUCGGAGUCUGCAACUCGACUCCGUGAAGCCGGAAUCGCUAGUAAUCGCGAAUCAGAAUGUUGCGGUGAAUACGUUCCCGGGCCUUGUACACACCGCCCGUCACACCAUGGGAGUGGUUUGCAAAAGAAGCGGAUAGCUUAACCGAAAGGGGGGCGUUUGCCACUUUGUGGAUCAUGACUGGGGUGAAGUCGUAACAAGGUA
rnacentral:rRNA from 1 species